UACGAAGGGGGCUAGCGUUGCUCGGAAUGACUGGGCGUAAAGGGCGCGUAGGCGGAUGGCACAGUCAGAUGUGAAAUUCCCGGGCUUAACCUGGGGGCUGCAUUUGAUACGUGUUGUCUUGAGUUCGGAAGAGGGUCGUGGAAUUCCCAGUGUAGAGGUGAAAUUCGUAGAUAUUGGGAAGAACACCGGUGGCGAAGGCGGCGACCUGGUCCGAAACUGACGCUGAGGCGCGAAAGCGUGGGGAGCAAACAGG
rnacentral:rRNA from 1 species